CAAGCUUCUUCUUCAAUGGAGGAGAUCACCAAGGAGUUUGAGGAGAGGAAGAUUGAACUCGAAGCUAAGGCUCUAAAGAUCUAUCAGGCCUCAGACGCUGAUAUCAAGGUCUGCAUUACUUGUCAAAGUUAAAUUUGAUCGAAAUUCCAUAAAGAACAAGGUAUGUUGCUGAAAAAUUUGUACAUAACAAUGUGGUUUCUUAAUCAAGAAACUACUUUUCAUUAAAUAAAAGGCGGCUGACAUUCAAUGUUGAAUCAUUAAAUUG